AGAUUCCUACGGGAGGCAGCAGUGGGGAAUAUUGGGCAAUGGAGGCAACUCUUACCCAGCAAUGCCGCGUGAAUGAAGAAGGUCUUCGGAUUGUAAAGUUCUUUAAUUGGGGACGAAAAAAAUGACGGUACCCAAGGAAUAAGCCCCGGCUAACUACGUGCCAGCAGCCGCGGUAAUACGGGGGAUGCGAGCGUUAUCCGGAUUUAUUGGGUUUAAAGGGUGCGUAGGCGGCGCUUCAGGUCAGCGGUGAAAUACCGGGGCUCAACCCCGGGGCUGCCGUUGAAACCGGAGCGCUAGAAUUCCGA
rnacentral:rRNA from 1 species